AUAUACUUAGGUUGGUACAUCGAUUGGAAAAAUCUAACAACAUUUACAGUUUAUGUUCAUGUUUCACUGGUGCACAUAGAAAUUAGGAAGGCAUGUUUACGCUAUCUAAACAGUGAAAUCAACGCAUGUUAGCAUAAAACCUUUGAUUGCAGAACCCCAACGGCGCAAAAUGCAGAAGUCAGCCCACGAGUUAUACAUCUGAUAUACGCUAAUUAAGUAAUCUCUGAUAUUUUACAGGCGCCAGUCUGUGCGCCGAUCUGUCCAUCCCUGACACGAGCGAGACUACUGCUUACCUGCUGUUUAGAGCAGACGAAAUGACGUACUUUCACGUGGCCGACCAGAAGCAAGUAUUCCUGAGGCGACCAUUUGUUAAACCUGUAACAUUCAUCGAACCAGACAAGCCUGUCUACAAACCGGGUCAAAAAGUGCAAUUCCGUAUUCUCAGCUUAUCAUCUGACUUGAAGCCCAUAACUGAACCGGAUAUAACGUUCAUACCAACUUUUGCGGGGCUUUAAAAUCAUCUUGAGGAAGAAGGAGGAGGAGAAAGAAAAGAAGGCGAAAAAGAAGAAAAAAAACUAACAGAUGGAACCUGCGAAACAUCUGCACUGAUGAGGCCCAACGUAAUGACGAGCCACAGCUAGUGUACCAGUAGCGGCGACUAUGAGACAGGUGACCAGGACAGGAGAGGAGACUCCGGAGAGGAGGGGAGACCAGACCCAGGACAGGACAAGUGACCCAGGACAGAACAAGAUGCACAGGACAAGAGAGAACAGGAGAGGAGCACCAACACCACUUUAAAGUUUGCAUGCAGUCCCAUGAUUCACCAGCAACUCUGGCACCUCAGGCACCUCAACGUUGCCCUCUAAACCUGUCGAAUCAAUAUCUGAUUUCACGAUAUAGAUAGAAGAACACGAUAUACGAGAAGACUAUACAAGGAUAUGUGAUCGUAAGAAAUGUUACGAACUACUAACGCUGUGGCUAUAUGUCCGGCAGCCGGGCACGGUCUUCGAUUUCCUAAAUGCUCGACAGUUUCUAACCCUAAC